rnacentral:tRNA from 1 species
GGUGUUGUAGCUCAGUGGUAGAGCGCUUGCCUAGCAUGUAUGAGGCACUAAGUUUGAUUCUUAACACUG